GAUGAACGCUGGCGGCGUGCUUAAUACAUGCAAGUCGAACGGAAAGGCGCUGAUCUUGCGGCGUGCUCGAGUGGCGAACGCGUGAGUAUCACGUGAGUAACAUCCCCUUGACUUUGGGAUAACUCCUGGAAAAAGGGGCUCAUAUCGGAUAGGAGCUCCUGCAGCAUGGUGGGCAAUGGAAAGUUUCGGCGGUUGGGGCUGGGCUCGCGGUGUAUCAGCUUGAUGGUGGGGUAGUGCCUGACCCAGGCUUUGACGGGAACCCGGCCUGAGAGGGUGAACGGCGGCAUAGGGACUGAGAUGCGGCCCAGACUGCUACGGGAGGGAGCAGUGGGGAAUCCUGCCCAAUGGGCGGAAGCCUGAUGCAGCAACGCCGCGUGCGGGAAGACGGUCUUCGGGUUAUGAACCGCUUUCGCCUGUAACGAAGCCUGAGUGACGGUAAUGGGUAAGGAAGCACCGGCUAACUACGUG
rnacentral:rRNA from 1 species